GAAUUCGCCCUUAGAGUUUGAUCCUGGCUCAGGACGAACGCUGGCGGCACGCCUAACACAAGCAAGUCGAACGGAGUGAAGAUGCUCGCAUCUGAACUUAGUGGCGGACGGGUGAGUAACACGUGAGCAACCUGCCUUUCAGAGGGGGAUAACGUUUGGAAACGAACGCUAAUACCGCAUAAAAUAUCGGAGUCGCAUGGCACUGAUAUCAAAGGAGUAAUCCGCUGAAAGAUGGGCUCGCGUCCGAUUAGGCAGUUGGCGGGGUAACGGCCCACCAAACCGACAAUCGGUAGCCGGACUGAGAGGUUGAACGGCCACAUUGGGACUGAGACACGGCCCAGACUCCUACGGGAGGCAGCAGUGGGGGAUAUUGCACAAUGGGGGAAACCCUGAUGCAGCGAUGCCGCGUGAAUGAAGACGGCCUUCGGGUUGUAAAGUUCUGUCGCAGGGGACGAAAAUGACGGUACCCUGCAAGAAAGCUCCGGCUAACUACGUGCCAGCAGCCGCGGUAAUACGUAGGGAGCAAGCGUUGUCCGGAAUUACUGGGUGUAAAGGGAGCGUAGGCGGGAGGAUAAGUUGAAUGUGAAAUCUAUGGGCUCAACCCAUAGCUGCGUUCAAAACUGUUCUUCUUGAGUGAAGUAGAGGCAGGCGGAAUUCCUAGUGUAGCGGUGAAAUGCGUAGAUAUUAGGAGGAACACCAGUGGCGAAGGCGGCCUGCUGGGCUUUUACUGACGCUGAGGCUCGAAAGCGUGGGUAGCAAACAGGAUUAGAUACCCUGGUAGUCCACGCGGUAAACGAUGAUUACUAGGUGUGGGUGGACUGACCCCAUCCGUGCCGGAGUUAACACAAUAAGUAAUCCACCUGGGGAGUACGGCCGCAAGGUUGAAACUCAAAGGAAUUGACGGGGGCCCGCACAAGCAGUGGAGUAUGUGGUUUAAUUCGAUGAUACGCGAGGAACCUUACCCGGGCUCAAACGACGGAUGAAUACUUUUGAAAGGAGGUAGUCCUUCGGGACAUCCGUCGAGGUGCUGCAUGGUUGUCGUCAGCUCGUGCCGUGAGGUGUCGGCUUAAGUGCCAUAACGAGCGCAACCCCCAUCGCCAGUUGCCAACAGGUAAAGCUGGGAACUCUGGCGAGACUGCCGGCGCAAGCUGUGAGGAAGGCGGGGAUGACGUCAAAUCAGCACGGCCCUUACGUCCGGGGCGACACACGUGUUACAAUGGCAGGUACAGAGAGAUGCGACACGGCGACGUGGAGCGGAACUGUCAAAACCUGUCUCAGUUCGGAUCGGAGUCUGCAACCCGACUCCGUGAAGCUGGAUUCGCUAGUAAUCGCGCAUCAGCCAUGGCGCGGUGAAUACGUUCCCGGGCCUUGCACACACCGCCCGUCA
rnacentral:rRNA from 1 species